rnacentral:lncRNA from 1 species
AUACAUAUAUACAAUCAAUCAGCCGAUUGAUUUUAAUUACCACUUCAAUUUACUUGAUUCUUUUAUCAUUAUUUUAUUGUUUCUUGCAGACGUACAAGAUGCCUGGGCGGGAAAAAAGGUCCAUAUCCUCCUUUCAAAAAUAGGGGCCUACAAAAUAUUUUACUGGGACAUUUACCAAGUUGGUUCCAACAUGGAGAUGGAAAGUGAGGCAAUCAAUGCAUACCUGUCUGUCAUGGUCAAUGAAUACAAUGACCUGAAUACAGGAAAAGCAGCAUUCAUAGAUUCCUAUUCCAUGAUCAAAAUGUGGAACAGAGGCACUCAAAGACUCAAGGUAUAUUGAAUCUGAAUCUAAGUAUUUUUAUUUAUUUGAAUUGAAAUAAUAUUUUGAGUGAGCUAUUUCUAUAGGCAACUGUUUGAGCAAUCUUUUCACAUUUUACUUUAUGUCUUGUAGACACUGACAUUCUUACAAUAUUUUUUGUUAUAGAUGAAACCCCAGCAGUAUGAAAUUAUUGUGGGGAUCAUAAAUGAGCAUCACUACUGGAAACUAGCGGUAAAAAUGAUUAAUUAUCAUAUAAGUCUGCAACUGCAUUAUAUAACUGAAGAAAGCUUCAGUGCAUAUGUUUCAUAAGACACUUGAGUAAGUAAAGAAACAACAUGUAAUAUUAUUUUUUUUAACUAUAGGUAAUCUACCCCAGAGAAAAGAAGACCCUCUUCCUGGAUCCGCUCGGGGAGUCCACAGGUGACAUGAAGAUAUGUUUGGAAAUAACAUGGUAUGGACAGCUGUUAAAAAUAAAGAUUUCAACGUCUAAGUCACUGUCACUGUCAAUUGAAUAUUGCUAUAAUAUUUUAUCAUUA